UCGAGAAUCUUCGGCAAUGGGCGCAAGCCUGACCGAGCGAUGCCGCGUGCGCGAUGAAGGCCUUCGGGUUGUAAAGCGCUGUCGAGGGGGAGAAAAGCGAAAGCUUGAUCUAUCCCUGGAGGAAGCACGGGCUAAGUUCGUGCCAGCAGCCGCGGUAAGACGAACCGUGCGAACGUUGUUCGGAAUCACUGGGCUUAAAGGGCGCGUAGGCGGGCUGUCAAGUCUGGGGUGAAAUCCCGCGGCUCAACCGUGGAACUGCCUCAGAUACUGACGGCCUCGAGGGAGGUAGGGGCGAGCGGAACUGUGAGUGGAGCGGUGAAAUGCGUUGAUAUUCACAGGAACUCCGGUGGCGAAGGCGGCUCGCUGGACCUUUUCUGACGCUGAGGCGCGAAAGCUAGGGGAGCAAACG
rnacentral:rRNA from 1 species